rnacentral:lncRNA from 1 species
UAGGUUAGGGUAAAUUGUUAAGAUUUAAAACUUACUCAUAUUACCUUUCACCAUGGGGCUUGCAACCGUCACUUGUGUCUUGAGCAGUUAAAAGGUAGAACGGUCAAGUCAAGCACCAUGUCUCUUGUUCUUUGAUCAACUAUAGCUCUGGAAUUUUUGCAGAGUUUCAAAUAAAACUCAGAGAUUCCUUGUAUGACUCUCUCUCAAGUCUGUCUUAUGUGGUAUUUUUGGAUCCUUCCCAAGGCAGUGAUGAUAUAUGCCUUCUCUCAAAGUAUGUUGUAUUUGUGGUAUGAGGCAUAAUGGUAUUGCCUUCUCUCUCACCCUACUCUAACAAGGUUUUGAUAUCUGGAGCUCAUAGGUGGGAGACAGCUAAUACAUACUUACAAGACAUUUAUUGCAUAGUCAAACCAUGGAACCAGAGAAACAAGUCAAUAAGUCAAAUCAAGAUUUGCAUAUGUGGCGAAUGAAUGGUGUAUGGUGAUAAUGAUGGAAACAAUAGUGAAAGUCUAAUUCUACGUUUGCUCUUUUGAAGGGAUACAUACCUUUCUUGCACUUUGAAGUUUGAGGGGAAUGAGAUGCUCUAUAUUUUCUUUUUCUUUUCUCUCAGGUGGGUAUCUUGUACCCCUAAUUCUACUGUCGGACACUUGUCCAUUUUUACCUCUUGUCUCACUUUUUCUUUUUCUUCGAGGUUCCGGGCACUUGCCCUUUUUUAUUUCCUCGUAUUUUUCCCCCUUUUUUUAGAGCACUCACCCUCCUAGAAUAAUGUAGCAAGUGGUAGUAACCAAAAUAUCUAGAGCAUUUAUUUCACGGGAAAUAACAGGGAUAGGAUAAUCUUUUUGGCUAUUCUCUCCUGGAUAGGAGUAGAACAAUUUUAGGUGAAUCUGGAGAUGGAAAGGAGUGGAUGUAUGUGGAUGCGUACUUCCGGAGUAGAAGCGGCAUGUAUAAGUGAACGUGCAAGUGAAUCUUGAUUUUAACCGCAUGACGAGCUCCUAAAGGUCUACACAGCUUGACCACACUCAAUGCUUAUAAGCAGUAAAAAGUAAAUGUGUGGCUCAAAGUCUAGCAGGCAUGUAUAUAUAGCUGUGGUAGGAUUUUAAACUCUCAUCAUAUAGGGACUCAUCAUGCAACAUUUUAAAGAUUGUAACACCCUAAAAUAUGCUCCUUUCAAAAUAGAUGAAAAAUUGAUUUAGUUAUGUAUUUGAGUGCUCAUGAAAAUAUAAAAAAAUAAUAAAUUUGCUCCUUGUUCGGUACAUCUUUAUUCCUUGUUUUCCAGCCUA